rnacentral:rRNA from 1 species
AUUGAACGCUGGCGGCAUGCCUUACACAUGCAAGUCGAACGGCAGCACGGGAGCAAUCCUGGUGGCGAGUGGCGAACGGGUGAGUAAUAUAUCGGAACGUGCCCAGUCGUGGGGGAUAACUACUCGAAAGAGUGGCUAAUACCGCAUACGAUCUACGGAUGAAAGCGGGGGACCUUAGGGCCUCGCGCGAUUGGAGCGGCCGAUAUCAGAUUAGGUAGUUGGUAGGGUAAAGGCUCACCAAGCCAACGAUCUGUAGCUGGUCUGAGAGGACGACCAGCCACACUGGAACUGAGACACGGUCCAGACUCCUACGGGAGGCAGCAGUGGGGAAUUUUGGACAAUGGACGCAAGUCUGAUCCAGCCAUUCCGCGUGCAGGAUGAAGGCCCUCGGGUUGUAAACUGCUUUUGUACGGAACGAAAAGGUCUCUCCUAAUACGAGGGGCUCAUGACGGUACCGUAAGAUAAGCACCGGCUAACUACGUGCCAGCAGCC